rnacentral:rRNA from 1 species
CCUACGGGAGGCAGCAGUGAGGAAUAUUGGUCAAUGGGCGGAAGCCUGAACCAGCCAAGUAGCGUGCAGGAUGACGGCUCUACGGGUUGUAAACUGCUUUUAUACGGGAAUAACGCGCCUUACGUGUAGGGCUUUGCAUGUACCGUAUGAAUAAGGACCGGCUAAUUCCGUGCCAGCAGCCGCGGUAAUACGGAGGGUCCGGGCGUUAUCCGGAUUUAUUGGGUUAAAAGGGUGCGCAGGCGGAAGAUCAAGUCAGCGGUAAAAUUGAGGGGCUCAACCUCUUCGAGCCGUUGAAACUGGUUUUCUUGAGUGAGUGAGAAGUAUGCGGAAUGCGUGGUGUAGCGGUGAAAUGCAUAGAGAUCAUACAGAACACCGAUUGCGAAGGCAGCUUACCAAGCUACUUCUGACGUUGAGGCACGAAAGCGUGGGGAGCAAACAGGAUUAGAUACCCGAGUAGUC